rnacentral:rRNA from 1 species
GACGAACGCUGGCGGCGUGCUUAACACAUGCAAGUCGAACGGUAAGGCCCUUCGGGGUACACGAGUGGCGAACGGGUGAGUAACACGUGGGUGAUCUGCCCUGCACUUCGGGAUAAGCCUGGGAAACUGGGUCUAAUACCGGAUAGGACCAUGGACUUCACGGUUUGUGGUGGAAAGCUUUUGCGGUGUGGGAUGGGCCCGCGGCCUAUCAGCUUGUUGGUGGGGUAAUGGCCUACCAAGGCGACGACGGGUAGCCGGCCUGAGAGGGUGUCCGGCCACACUGGGACUGAGAUACGGCCCAGACUCCUACGGGAGGCAGCAGUGGGGAAUAUUGCACAAUGGGCGCAAGCCUGAUGCAGCGACGCCGCGUGAGGGAUGACGGCCUCGGUUGUAACCGUACUUCAUAGGACGAAGCGCAAGU